GUCUUGGGUCUGGCCAUGCCUGAGCCUGCAAAGUCCACGCCGGCUCCCAAGAAGGGCUCCAAGAAAGCCAUCACCAAAGCCUAGAAGAAAGACGGCAAGAAGCGCAAGCGCAGCCGCAAGGAGAGCUACUCCAUCUACGUGUACAAGGUGCUGAAGCAGGUCCACUCCGACACCGGCAUCUCGUCCGCGGCCACGGGCGUCAUGAACUCCUUCCUCAACGACAUCUUCGAGCGCAUCGCGGGAGAGGCGUCCCGCCUGGCGCACUACAACAAGCGCUCCACCGUCACGUCCCGGAGAUCCAAACGGCCGUGCGCCUGCUGCUGCCCGGCGAGCUGGCCAAGCACGCCGUGUCCGAGGGCACCAAGGCGGUCACCAAGUACACCAGCUCCAAGUGAGUCCCUGCCGGGACCUGGCGCUCGCUCGCUCCCUCCCUCGGCGGGUCGCCGGCUGCCUUGACUCCAAAGGCUCUUUUCAGGGCUACUUAACCACCUCAGUGAAAGAAUCUUUCUUGUGUUGUCAGUCCCAGUUUGUGUUUUUGGCUUCACGUCUGGUUAACUUUAGGAGAGCACACAACUCCAUUAAGCACAGAUAACUAUUUUCUUUUCACAUAGGCAUUGCUAUAGGCUUACAUAGAUUGAUAGUGGUAUCUUACUAUGGUAUGGAUAGGCUGGGGCUUGCCUUAGAGGGCUGCUCUUGAAACUGUCUUUGGCCUGGUUACGUACCCGUGAAUAUGUGCCCAGCAGAUUGUUUCCUGGUGAGAAACGCAGUGUUAAUUUUGAUAAGCUGUUUUCCCACUGCUUACUGUAAGUUCUACUUAGGGGAUUUCCCUCAGCACCUAUCCCUUUUCCUGCAGAUGAUGGGAGAGGAAUAUAAGGUAAAGGUAUAAUCUGUAGCUUGGUCGAGAACUACCUUGUAGUGACACGGUCAUGUGCACAUAAUUUGCCUUUUCCAAAGUGAGACGGUAUGCCACGGGUGCGGUCAAUGUCAAUCUGCUCAGGAGAGUCGAGGGAAAAAGUGUUAACUGCAUAUUGAGCUCGCAAAAUUGUGUAGUAAUCUGAAAAUAUUCCUAAUACUUUUGCGACCAAGCCUCACCAUAUAUAGUAAACUUUCCUUCCGCACCUGUAGACCUCCAUUCUGUGAUUGAAGCAAUUUUUGGUUUAUAUAGCUCUCGUCUCAAUUUGGUAUUCCUUUCAGGUAUUGUGAAUCUAUAGGUAUUUAUUCCUGGGUUUCAAGAUGUUAAAUGCUAUCAGAAUAGAGUAAUGCAAAGGCUGCUGUCAUGGAUAGUAAAGCUUUUUAAUCAAGUGCUGAUAGGUAGACAAUUCCCCAUUGUUAUCGUUGGGUAUUUUACAAUUUUCUGGGCAAGAAAUGUAAUGAAAAAUUAGAUAAGUUUUAAAGGCCUUCAUUUUUGAGACUGGAUACCUUAAACAGUAGUGUUUCCUAAACAGUUAAAACUUAUUUAACCCUGAAGCUUUCGAGACACACACAAAUAUAUACAUAAAUAUAUAUUGUAUAUUCCUUAAACCCCACAUAGCUCCACUGAUCCAAAUCACUGGGGGUGAGGCAAGGGUAGACAAUCUAUGACACAACACCAGGUGAUUCAUAAGUUUGGUAACCACUGACAUUUGGUUAUGCAGUUGCCAUAUUCCUUAGUAAGAACCUGGUUACAAUUUUCACUCACUACCCCAGGCAAUUCCCCCUCCCCACACCCCCCUUUUUUCCAAAAAUUGCAGUGAGAUAUACAAAAGUUUCAUUUAAUCCUUUAUUAAUUCAGGACUUUAUAUAUUUUUAUUAGGAUUUAAAAUACAUUUCAAAAAGAUCAAGUGAGAACAGAAGAUAAAAGUACCAAGAUAAAGGCAUAAUACAAACUUACUAGAAAAUACAUGUUAAGCAUACUGCAGUGUCCUGGUAGCCCCUUGCUUUUGUUCACUUUUUUCUCUUAUGUACCUACAUAAAAUCCCAAAUAGGCCGGACGUGGUGGCUCACGCCUGUAAUCCCAGCACUUUGGGAGGCUGAGGCGGGU